rnacentral:rRNA from 1 species
AUGGAGAGUUUGAUCCUGGCUCAGGACAAACGCUGGCGGCGUGCUUAACACAUGCAAGUCUAAGGAGAACGUUAUUUUCGGAUAACAAGUAAACUGGCGGACGGGUGAGUAACGCGUAGGCUACCUACCUUUAAGAUUGGGAUAACGUUUGGAAACGAACGCUAAUACCAAAUAAUAUUCUUUGAAUCAAAGGGGGCUUCGGCUCUUGCUUAAAGAUGGGCCUGCGUCUGAUUAGCUAGAUGGUAAGGUAAUGGCUUACCAUGGCAACGAUCAGUAGCUGGUUCGAGAGGAUGAUCAGCCACACUGGGACUGAGAUACGGCCCAGACUCCUACGGGAGGCAGCAGUGGGGAAUUUUGCGCAAUGAGGGAAACCUUGACGCAGCAACGCCGCGUGAUCGAAGAAGCUUCUAGGAGUGUAAAGAUCUGUCAUAGGGGAAGAAAUGCUCAUAUUCUAACACAAUAUUUGCUUGACGGUACCCUAUAAGAAAGCUCCGGCUAACUAGGUGCCAGCAGCCGCGGUAAUACCUGGGGGGCAAGCGUUGUCCGGAUUCAUUGGGCGUAAAGGGCUCGUAGGUGGACUGACCAGUCAAAAUUGAAAUACAAUGGCUUAACCAUUGGCACGGUUUUGAUACUAUCAGUCUUGAGUGAAAUAGAGGUAAGCGGAAUUCCUAGUGUAGCGGUGAAAUGCGUAGAUAUUAGGAGGAACACCAAAGGCGAAGGCAGCUUACUGGAUUUAUACUGACACUGAGGAGCGAAAGCGUGGGUAGCGAACAGGAUUAGAGACCCUGGUAGUCCACGCCGUAAACGAUGAGCACUUGGUGGUGGGGGAUUCGACCCUUUCACUGCCGGAGUUAACGCAUUAAGUGCUCCGCCUGGGGACUACGAUCGCAAGAUUGAAACUCAAAGGAAUUGACGGGGACCCGCACAAGCGGUGGAUUAUGUGGUUUAAUUCGAUGCAACGCGAAGAACCUUACCUAGACUUGACAUGUUAGUGAAAGCUUUGUGAAAGCAAAGGCCUUUAUAGGCUUGCCUAUAAACACUAUCACAGGUGAUGCAUGGCUGUCGUCAGCUCGUGUCGUGAGAUGUUCGGUUAAGUCCGAUAACGAGCGCAACCCCUAUCGCUAGUUGCCAGCACGUAAUGGUGGGGACUCUAGGGAAACUGCCCGGGAUAACCGGAAGGAAGGUGGGGCCGACGUCAAGUCAGUAUGUCCCUUACGUCUAGGGCUACACACGUAAUACAAUGGAAGGUACAGAGGGCAGCGAGACCGCGAGGUGGAGCCAAUCCCAAAAAACCUUCCCAAGUUCGGAUUGCAGUCUGCAACUCGACUGCAUGAAGCAGGAAUCGCUAGUAAUCGCUCAUCAGCAUGGAGCGGUGAAUACGUUCCCGGGUCUUGUACACACCGCCCGUCACGCCAUGGAAGCCGGCAGCACCCGACACCAGUGUCCUAACCUUCGGGAAGGAGCUGUUUAAGGUGAAGUUGGUAACUGGGGCGAAGUCGUAACAAGGUAGCCGUACCGGAAGGUGCGGCUGGAUUACCUCCUUUCUA